CAGCCUGCCAGGAAGCCUAUUGUUCUGCCCUUUGUAAUAAGUUUAAGUAGAAACACAUGUACAUGUAGUGCUUUACCUCCCUCUACUGGUUGCAGUGGGAAGUUGUUUUUGAGAGCAAACACAGG